GACGUAGGGCGCGAGCGUUGUCCGGAUUUAUUGGGCGUAAAGAGCUCGUAGGCGGCUCGUUGCGUCGGCUGUGAAAACCCGCAGCUCAACUGUGGGCUUGCAGCUGAUACGGGCGGGCUGGGAUUCGGUAGGGGAGACUGGAAUUCCUGGUGUAGCGGUGAAAUGCGCAGAUAUCAGGAGGAACACCGGUGGCGAAGGCGACUCUUUGGCCUGUAACUGACACUGGAGGCGCGGAAAGCAUGGGGAGCGAACAGG
rnacentral:rRNA from 1 species